GGGCGUUUAGCUCAGCUGGUUAGAGCGUUGCAUUCACAUUGCAAAGGUCACUGGUUCGAGUCCAGUAACGCCCA
rnacentral:tRNA from 1 species